CAAAAACAUUGUUUUCUGUUGGGGAUAGAAAAUAGGGCCUGCUCACUGAGAAAUUUAAAGAGCUGCAAUAAUUUAAUUGUACAAAGGUAGCAUAAUCAUUUGUUUUUUAAUUAAGGACUAGGAUGAAAGGUAUAACGUAAGAAUAUAUGUCUUAUAUAAAAUUGAUUGAAAUUUAUUUUUUUGUUAAAAAGCAAAGAUGAGGUUAAGAGACGAGAAGACCCUAUUGAGCUUUAUUUAUUAGAUUUAUGUAUAAAUUAUUAGGUAAGUCAAAGUAAAUUUUACUGGGGCGGUAGAAAGAAUUUAAGUAUCUCUUUUUUAAAAAAUUAUUUAUUUAUAUAGUUUUAUCCAAGUUGUUUGAGAUAUAGAAAGUUACCGUAGGGAUAACAGCGUAAUUUUUUUGUAGAGUUCUUAUCGAUAAAAGAGUUUGCGACCUCGAUGUUGGAUUAGGAGUUCUUAUUGGCGUAUAAGUUAAUUUAGAUAGUCUGUUCGACUAUUAAAUUCCUACAUGAUCUGA
rnacentral:rRNA from 1 species